rnacentral:tRNA from 1 species
GGGGGCAUAGCUCUGUGGUAGAGCAUUCGACUGUAGAUAGAGAGAUCACCGGUUCAAUCCCGGUUGUUCCCU